rnacentral:rRNA from 1 species
AUUGAACGCUGGCGGCGUGCUUAACACAUGCAAGUCGAGCGGCAGCGCGGGGGCAACCCUGGCGGCGAGCGGCGGACGGGUGAGCAAUACAUAGGAAUCUGCCUCAGAGCGGGGGAUAGCCAGGGGAAACCCUGAUUAAUACCGCAUGACGUCGAGAGACCAAAGUGGGGGAUCGUAAGACCUCACACUCUGAGAUGAGCCUAUGUCGGAUUAGCUAGUUGGCGGGGUAACGGCCCACCAAGGCGACGAUCCGUAGCUGGUCUGAGAGGACGAUGCGCCACAACGGAACUGAGAAACGCUCCGGACUCGUACGGGAGGCAGCAGUGGGGAAUAUUGGACAAUGGGCGAAAGGCUGAUCCAGCGACGCCGCGUGGGUGAAGAAGGCCUUCGGGUUGUAAAGCCCUUUAAGCCGGGACGAAAAAGCUACACCUAACACGUGUGGCCUUGACGGUACCGGAAGAAUAAGCACCGGCUAACUCUGUGCCAGCCGCCGCUGUAA